UAACGCCUGAAACGGGUGCUAAUGCCGGAUAGGGCAACUGGUAGGCAUCUACCGGUUGGGAAAGGUGCAACUGCACCGCAGAUGGAGGAGCCCGCGGCGCAUUAGCUAGUUGGUGGGGUAACGGCCCACCAAGGCGACGAUGCGUAGCCGACCUGAGAGGGUGACCGGCCACACUGGGACUGAGACACGGCCCAGACUCCUACGGGAGGCAGCAGUAGGGAAUCUUCGGCAAUGGGCGAAAGCCUGACCGAGCAACGCCGCGUGAGCGAAGAAGGCCUUCGGGUUGUAAAGCUCAGUCACCCGGGAAGAGCGGGCAGGAGAGGGAAUGCUCCUGUCGAGACGGUACCGGGAGAGGAAGCCCCGGCUAACUACGUG
rnacentral:rRNA from 1 species